UGGGGGGGGGGGCGGUCCCUCAGCCCGGAUUGCCAGAGGGUGCAGGCCAGGCCGAGGGACCGCACUGGUGCAUG
rnacentral:pre_miRNA from 1 species